rnacentral:misc_RNA from 1 species
GUACUCUCACACUCCCAAUGCUUUUGGAUUGGGGGCGGUGGAUUUGGGUGCUGCUGCUUUACUGUGGCUCACCUUAAAUGGAGUAGUGCACCUCUUGGUUGGACAUAGUACGGCGUGAUAAGUGUCUUCGCCGGCGCCUCGAAAGAGGGUGGCUGAUUGGGAGCUCUGUGCUUCAUAAACUGUCUUCGGACAAUGUCUGACA